rnacentral:rRNA from 1 species
GACGAACGCUGGCGGCGUGCUUAACACAUGCAAGUCGAACGAAGAGCGAUGGAAGCUUGCUUCUAUCAAUCUUAGUGGCGAACGGGUGAGUAACGCGUAAUCAACCUGCCCUUCAGAGGGGGACAACAGUUGGAAACGACUGCUAAUACCGCAUACGAUCUAAUCUCGGCAUCGAGGAUAGAUGAAAGGUGGCCUCUACAUGUAAGCUAUCACUGAAGGAGGGGAUUGCGUCUGAUUAGCUAGUUGGAGGGGUAACGGCCCACCAAGGCGAUGAUCAGUAGCCGGUCUGAGAGGAUGAACGGCCACAUUGGGACUGAGACACGGCCCAGACUCCUACGGGAGGCAGCAGUGGGGAAUCUUCCGCAAUGGACGAAAGUCUGACGGAGCAACGCCGCGUGAGUGAUGACGGCCUUCGGGUUGUAAAGCUCUGUUAAUCGGGAAGAAAGGCAUUCUUGCGAAUAGUGAGAAGGAUUGACGGUACCGGAAUAGAAAGCCACGCCUAACUACGU